CCCUCUGAUGUCCCUAUAAAAGGGUUUAGGGAAGAUUUGUGACGUUCAUCUCCCCCGGGAGGGGCUGAGCGGAUACAUUGUAUCCUCCCACAGAUCAUUAUUUCUUACUUUGUAACUUUUUGUAACCCGGAUCAGGUCGUAGAAUUUGUGUCGAUUUUAUCUCCGCUACAGAACAUUCUGGGGAUUGACAUACAUCACAGUAUACGAGAGAGAAGAGCAGCCUCAGCAGAGCUGUCAGCGGAGGAGCUGUAACAAUGUGUCAGGAGGUGGAAGAUUUCUAUUUAACGUUACACGACAUGUUGCAAGGAAUGUUACAUCCAUGAUUGUAAGGAAAUCUUCAGAUUUACAAGCAAAUAAAAAAAUGAGAUGCAGAUGGUGACAUCUUUAUGGUGAAAUAAAAUACAAAACUGCUCAAAUUCAGACUCAACAAACCGCAGAGGAUGAGAACCCGACCCAGAGCCGCACACGAGAGCGGAGAACAUCCGAUCAAUGUGAACAGUGACAUAAGCAAUAAACAGAACUUUCCGGUUGCCUUGGGCAUUGGACACUUCCUCCGUUGAGCUGUGACCCGGCACCUGGCCGACUCUGAGCUGUAACCCUCUACCUGACCGACUAUGAGCUGUGACGCUGCACCUGACCGACUAUGAGCUGUGACCCUGCACCUGAUUGGCUCUGA